rnacentral:ribozyme from 14 species
UAUUCAUAGAUGGAAUAAAAGGGUGAAAGAGUGAAAAGAAGAGAGAGAGAAAAAAAAAUAUCGGAGUGGAGUCACUUUUUGUGUUCUGUUUGUUUCUUUUGUUUCUAUUUUCAAACGUACCUGCAAUCAUAUUUUUUCCUAA